rnacentral:rRNA from 1 species
UACAGGGGGGGGCAAGCGUUGUUCGGAAUUACUGGGCGUAAAGGGCUCGUAGGUGGCCAACUAAGUCAGACGUGAAAUCCCUCAGCUUAACUGGGGAACUGCGUCUGAUACUGGAUGGCUUGAGUUUGGGAGAGGGAUGCAGAAUUCCAGGUGUAGCGGUGAAAUGCGUAGAUAUCUGGAGGAAUACCGGUGGCGAAGGCGGCAUCCUGGACCGACAUUGACGCUGAAAACCGAAAGCUAGGGGAGCAAACGGG